AGUUGUAGCCUUUCAAACAGAGCUCUGCAUGUACACACCUGUAUUGGAACACUACAGCUCC
ensembl:miRNA mdo-mir-1805 mdo-mir-1805